UCUUCAGUAGUCCAAGAAAGAUAUAAAAUUUAGAAUUUUAAGGUGCGUCUGCCUGAAGAA
rnacentral:tRNA from 1 species